rnacentral:rRNA from 1 species
GACAGAGGGUGCAAGCGUUGUUCGGAAUUACUGGGCGUAAAGCGUGCGCAGGCGGUUUCGUAAGUCUGUCGUGAAAUCCCCGGGCUUAACCUGGGAAUGGCGAUGGAGACUGCGAGGCUAGAGUUUGGCAGAGGGGGGUAGAAUUCCACGUGUAGCAGUGAAAUGCGUAGAGAUGUGGAGGAACACCGAUGGCGAAGGCAGCCCCCUGGGUCAAAACUGACGCUCAUGCACGAAAGCGUGGGGAGCAAACAGG